rnacentral:sRNA from 1 species
UCUCGAUAAAAUAUGAUGGAUGGGCU